rnacentral:rRNA from 1 species
AGAGUUUGAUCCUGGCUCAGGACGAACGCUGGCGGCGUGCCUAACACAUGCAAGUCGAGCGGAGAUUGCAGUAAUGUAAUCUUAGCGGCGGACGGGUGAGUAACGCGUGGGCAACCUGCCUAUAACUGGGGGAUAACACAGGGAAACUUGUGCUAAUACCGCAUAACAUCAUGGAAGGACAUCCUUUUAUGAUCAUCCUUUUAUGGUCAAAGGAGCAAUCCGGUGAUAGAUGGGCCCGCGGCUGAUUAGCUAGUUGGUGAGGUAAUGGCUCACCAAGGCGACGAUCAGUAGCCGACCUGAGAGGGUGAUCGGCCACACUGGGACUGAGACACGGCCCAGACUCCUACGGGAGGCAGCAGUGGGGAAUAUUGCGCAAUGGGGGAAACCCUGACGCAGCAACGCCGCGUGAAGGAUGAAGGUUUUCGGAUCGUAAACUUCUGUUGUAAGGGAAGAAUAAUGACNNNNNNNNNNNGGCGGUGAACUGACGGUACCUUACCAGAAAGCCACGGCUAACUACGUGCCAGCAGCCGCGGUAAUACGUAGGUGGCAAACGUUGUCCGGAAUUACUGGGCGUAAAGGGCGAGUAGGUGGUUUAUUAAGUCAGAAGUGAAAACUCCAGGCUCAACUUGGAGACUGCUUUACGAAACUGGUAAACUUAGUGCAAGAGAGGGAAGUGAAUGUGUCGUGUAGCGGUGAAAUGCGUAGAUAUUAGGAGGAACACCAGUGGCGAAGGCGACUUCCUGGCUUGUAACUGACACUGAGGCGCGAAAGCGUGGGGAUCAAACAGGAUUAGAUACCCUGGUAGUCCACGCCGUAAACGAUGAGUGCUAGGUGUCGGGGGUAUCGACCCCCUCGGUGCCACAGCUAACGCAAUAAGCACUCCGCCUGGGGAGUACGGUCGCAAGACUGAAACUCAAAGGAAUUGACGGGGGCCCGCACAAGCGGUGGAGUAUGUGGUUUAAUUCGACGCAACGCGAAGAACCUUACCAAGGCUUGACAUCCUGUGACAGCUAUAGAAAUCGUCUUCUUAGUUUACUAAGACACAGAGACAGGUGGUGCAUGGUUGUCGUCAGCUCGUGUCGUGAGAUGUUGGGUUAAGUCCCGCAACGAGCGCAACCCCUAUCCCAUGUUACCAGCACGUAAAGGUGGGCACUCAAGAGAGACUGCCGUCGACAAGACGGAGGAAGGUGGGGAUGACGUCAAGUCAUCAUGCCCCUUAUGUCCUGGGCUACACACGUACUACAAUGGGCGUAAACAGAGGGAUGCAAGACCGCGAGGUGGAGCCAAUCCCAUAAAUACGCUCUCAGUUCGGAUCGGAGGCUGCAACUCGCCUCCGUGAAGUCGGAAUCGCUAGUAAUCGCAGAUCAGCAUGCUGCGGUGAAUACGUUCCCGGGCCUUGUACACACCGCCCGUCACACCACGAAAGUUGGAAACACCCGAAGCCGGUGGGCUAACCGCAAGGGAGCAGCCGUCGAAGGUGGGGCCGAUGAUUGGGGUGAAGUCGUAACAAGGUAACC